CCCCCCCCACCGGCCCCCGCACACCCCGUCCUCCUCACUCCCACCCCGGGGCGGGCAGCAAGGAGCCAAGCAGCACCCGGGCUCCCGGGGAACGCCGGCGUCGGAUCCCAGCGUGCUGCGACUGCUGCGGAGAGUUCCCAGCGCGGACGAGCGCUGUCGGGAGAGCGCAGGCAGAGGCUCUGGGAUGCUGCAGGCGGGAGACUUUUCCCGGUGUUUCCAUCUUCACCACCCGGCUCACUGGGCUGGUGGGAUGCGGGGGCUUAGCCCCCCAGGAGAGCAGCCCGCCCGUUGGGUCUGCAGGGGAAAACCACACUGCAUCAUAGCGAAAACCUGCCCGGUGAUUGACCUGCAUGAAGAAAUCGUCCCUGUGCUCAGGCCUGAUCCGAAGCCCGCUGCAAGCAGCGCUGACGCCGGCUGGGUUUGGACCAGAUCCGACAGCCCGUCCAGGCUGGCAGCGCUGGGUGCCAAGGGACGGCAGUCGCACCGGACGGGGCGCCUCGCUGGGGGCCCUCGCGAGAAAUGCAUUUUCCAGUUUCAGGGAUUCAGGGAGAGGUGCCCUGCUCGGGGCGGGGGUCCGGACAGGGUGCUCAGGCAGCGCUUUCCGGGGAGAGCUUAGAAGCAAUGUUUCUAAACUUGUGCCUUGAUCUUUGCCGGCCAGAACAGGCUGUUUCUAAUGCCUUUUCAGCCCAAGCAGGGUACAGCAUUCCCUGUUUUGUGAGCUUUGAGUUCUUGCUUGACAGUGUGAAUAUUCAGGCCGGACUGACGCAUGGCUUCUUUCACUCCUCCUGCUUUUGUCUCCAAGGCCGUCCUCACUGCCUGGGCCUCCCAGACCCCUCGGAGCAAACGCUUCACUUCGUGGUGGCACAGAGAGGGGUUUUACAGCUCCGGCUCCACAAUCCCUUCAAAUUAAAGAGAGGUUAACGAGCGGAUUCACAGGCCAGGAGCAAGCAGCGCCCAGGAGACCCCGCAAGUCCAGCAGCGUGGGGAGAAAGACCGGCCAGAGUCGGUCUCCCCUCCCGGCUCCGGAUGCGGAGCACCGCUAAGUGAUUAUUGGGAGUUUUGUCACAACGCACAAGGGCACAGCCGUGGGACAUCUCCCUCCGUUUUUUCUGGCCUUCCCUGGGUGAUGCUGUCAAACACUGGCACCUCAUGACCCUCCCUUGUCAUUUCCAAUCUUCCUGUGUCAUUCCUCUGGGUAAUUCUCCUGCAGCCCUGCCAUUUUCCAGAUGUUUUUUGCAUGCACGAUGUCAGAAGCUGAUGAAGGCAGAACAGCACGAGUUUUCUCAGUGAACAGUGAUUCCAGAAUAUAGCAAGGAGGAUAUCCAGGAAAUCUGUUUUUCCCAGUGGACCGCAAUCAACUAAUGGUAGACAGCAAAUUGUAGGGUUUUCUUGUUCUAUAAAAAGCUAAUACAUUUA